GUCCUGUGCUUAAUGCGAGGACGAGGACGCGAUCCGGAGGGGGAAGCUGGGCCGUGUGGGGAGACCCAUAGGAAGCCCUGGGGUUUGGUUUCUCUUCAAGACCUGAUGUGAUGUUGUUUGCGGUUCAAGGAUAAGGUGAAAUGCUUAGUGGGACAUCUGUGUGUCCAGCACAGUGACUGUCGUGUCUUUGACAGAUAACGGAAUAGUUCAGUUGUUGCCCCUGCGCAGCGCCCUAUGGAAUGAAUUGGAAUGGCUUUGUCUACUUGAGUUGGACUUUGCCUUUGGCAAAGUUUCUGCUUCUGACCGUGUGAUUUCUUCUUUUGUUGUUCUGUUCUGUUUUCUAGUGACGUUAUAGCGGAAGACAUGGCAACGUGGGAAUCUCUCUGGACAGUGGAUGUUUUCGUGUUACUCUCCUGAGACAGGCAAGCCUAAUGUUCCAGGCUUUGGAGAGUUCUCGGCUGAGGAGGUGCGUCUGGAGUAUUAUAACUGCAGUGCAAACAACAACACUGGCUACUACGUAAGUAUUUGAAACAACUGACCUUCUGUUGAUCAAGUGGGGCAAAAACCUGACGUGUCCAGCCUGGAAUUGUCUUUCAGCUGGUCAGAUCACUCUAGUUGCUCGUUUUUCAAAACCAACACAAAACAGAGCAAGACAAAAGCAAAACCAAACACCCUUAGUGAGAGCAUGUUUGUGUUUUCCCAUGCCUAGAUCAACUCUGUCAAUCAGUUAGUGCAGCAGUGGAGAAAGAGGCUGCAGGAGCUGAAGGCUUUAAAUGGCUCGGGAAAAGCAGCGAUGGUAAGUGUUGAGGAAAGGUAAAGCAUUUGUGUUCCUGAUGUUGCUUUUCCAUAAGCCUGGAGUGAAGGUUUUCCUUAGGAUUCACAUUAGACAGUGCUCAUUAAGCUGCCUUGCUGUCACCAACAUUGGUUUCAGUUGUAAAGGCUGUUAAUGUAACCACGUCUAAGACGUGAUAGCACAGCAGAACAGUUGAGGCCAACACUGAGUGAUCAGGGAGAUGGCGUAAGUCGAUUGAGGUGGCGUCUGCAUGAAGUGCAUUGAAGUUGCAGUAGCGUGAUUGGACCUCUUGCUCAGUUUGGUUGUGAAGGUGAGGAGGUGGGGUUCAGAGUUCAGCACAGCGAUGGUUGUGCACAGAGACAGAGAGCAGGCUGAGAAGGGGAUGAGAGCUGCAUGAGGUUUUGGUCACUCCAAUUCCUUUUUGCCCAUCAGUCGUCAGAUUGAUGGUGCUAGGGUGUUUGACAGAGAAUAGCCUGAGA
rnacentral:lncRNA from 7 species